rnacentral:rRNA from 1 species
AUGACAAAGGAGGAAAGAUUAGAGAUGGUGAAAGCUGGAAGGGAGGAUAGAGGAAAAUACCAAGCAAGAGCAGCUAUUAAACAGAAAAAGGGGUGGCUCGCAAUAAGCAGAAACAGCACCAGAAGAGGAUGCCUCUGGCGGCAAAGAGAGCAAAGGCAGCGCGUUCUCGCCAGGAGAAGAAGACCAAAGCGAAGCACUCAGGAAAUCAGUUCAGGGGACGGAAGGCCUGGAAAUAAUGAGCGCUCGUGUUUGCUUCUUUACAAUUGGUGCCCGGAAAUUUUGACUGUCUUAAGGGUAUUGUGUCUGAUAUGUUUACAUAUGACAUGCAGUUUACAGCAAGGCCGUUUAUUAUUGUUAUUUUAUUUUUUGGGAAAGAAUAUUGCCUGUAGUUUCUUCUCGUUGGAGGAUUUAGCCAACGAAUUCUUGAACGUUUUUGCUCGAUGA